AACGCGAAGAACCUUACCCAGGCUUGACAUGUUCCUGACAGCGGCAGAGAUGUCGUCUUCCGAAAGGACAGGAACACAGGUGCUGCAUGGCUGUCGUCAGCUCGUGCCGUGAGGUGUUGGGUUAAGUCCCGCAACGAGCGCAACCCUUAUCACUAGUUGCCAACAUUUAAGGUGGGAACUCUAGUGAGACUGCCUGGGUUAACCAGGAGGAAGGUGAGGAUGACGUCAAGUCAGCAUGGCCCUUAUGUCUGGGGCGACACACGUGCUACAAUGGCCGGUACACAAGGCAGCAAUACCGUAAGGUGGAGCAAAUCCCUAAAGCCGGUCUCAGUUCGGAUUGUAGUCUGCAACUCGACUACAUGAAGUUGGAAUUGCUAGUAAUGGUGCGUCAGCCACAGCGCCGUGAAUACGUUCCCGGGCUUGUACACACCGACAUA
rnacentral:rRNA from 1 species